UUUUUGUUUUUGUUUUUUUUUUUAAGUAUAGUUCAUUUAGAAUGUUGUGUUAGUUUCAGGAAUACAGCUAAAUAAAUAAAUCAAAAUUUAAAUUUAAAAAGUUGCAGUUCUCACUUAAAAAAUUUAAAAAAGGAAAUACAGCAAAGCUAUUCAGUGAUACAUACAUACAUAUCUAUUUUUUUCAGAUUCUUUUCCCUUACAGGUUGUUACAAAAUAUUGAGUCUAGUUCCCUAUGCUAUAUACAGUAGGUCCUUGUUGGUUAUCGAUUUUAUACAGUACAGUGUGUGUAUGUUAAUCCCAAACUCCUAAUUUAUUCCUUCCCCACCCUUUCUUACUUGGCAACCAUAAGUUUGUUUAUAGGUUUUGCUUUUUAAGCGAGGGAGAGGGAGCAACGGGAGCAGUUAGCUCUUCAGAAACUGAUACCCUGAUAGGUGAUGUUAAUACAACCACAGAUAGGGGUGUUAAUCACCAGAAAAACAUGCUUUUUGAUUUAUUCACCUGAAUGUCCCCCAAAUAUUUUUUUUUUUUUUUGUCUUUUUGCCUUUUCUGGGGCUGUUCCCGCGGCAUAUGGAGAUUCCCAGGCUAGGGGUCUAAUCAGAGCCAUAGCCACCAGCCUACGCCAGAGCCACAGCAAGGUGGGAUCCGAUCCGCGUCUGUGACCUACACCACAGCUCAUGGCAACACCGGAUCCUUAACCCAUUGAGCGAGGCCAGGGAUCGAACCUGCAACCUCAUGGUUCCUAGUCAGAUUCGUUAACCACUGAGCCACGACAAGAACUCCUCUCUCAAAUCUUUUAUAGUCUAAAGAAAUGCUUUGUAUCUUUAAAUUGCAUGCUUGUUUUCCUUUUUGUUUUUGGCCACACCCUCGGCAUGCAGAAGUUCCACAGCCAUGGAUCAAACCCAUGCCACAGCAGUGACCCAAGCCACAGCAGUGGCAAUGCAAGAUCCUUAACCACUAAGCCACCAGGGAACUCCUCAAAUGCAAUUUAAAAACAAGAAUGUUGUUAACGUUGCCUGUAAUUUUCUUUUGACAGCUUUUUUUUUUCUUAUCGUGGUAGAUUGCAUCAUUUUGUCGCCCUUCCUCAGCCAUUUGACUCUGCAGCACCUCCUACCAAAUGGGUGCAGCCCCAUGAGGUUGAAUUUGGCCAUGUGACCUGCUUUGGCCAAUGGGAUAUUAACAGAUACGAUGCAAGCAGAGGCUUGCUCUCCCGGGCUUGGGCACUUUCCCCUCUCACCUCUGUGAGAACAUGCUCAAUAGAGUCUGCUGAUCAAAGGAAGAGGAUGAGAGUCAGGUGGCAUUGAGCUACCCCCAGCCAAACACACUCUAGCUUAGACAACCACUAGCUGACUCACAAUCAGUUAAAAAGUAUUUCUAAUGCCUCUGAAACUUUGUGAUUGUUUGUUAUGCAGCACUUUCAUACCAAUCGUUGACUCUUUCAUCCCUUGAUUUUAGAAUUUCAAGAAGUUUUUCAUUACCAUGAUUAUGUGAUUAUUAAUAGCAAAUUCUAAUGGUUGCUACCUAAAUCCAUUCCCUCUGGCUGAGCUUUGAUUUCUUUCUUUCUUUCUUUUUUUUUUUUUUUACCAUGCCUGUGGCACUGGAAGUUCCCAGGCCAGGGAUCAAACCUGCGCCACAACAACAACCUGAGCCACGCAGAACCAACACUGGACCCCUAACCCACUGCACUGCAGGCAAAGUCCUGCAGAGCUUUGAUUUGAUUUUAUAGGAGUUCACUCUCUGCCCAGCCAAGAUCAGCGCUCAGAAAAGGUGUCCUCUUCAACCUCAAGGGGCAAGUCUCAAUUAAUCUAAGCCAAUUGUAGUUUGCUGGUGACUGAUUUAGGAGACAGCAUAUAACACAGUUAUGGCCAAAGAAAUGUGAGAAGGCUGGUGGGGGCUUUCCAGAAGCCUUCUCUCCUCUAUGAGAAACUCCUGAGACGACCCUACCUAUUUUUACACCUUUAAAGCCUUAAACCUGGGACCAUGAGGGGAGCUGCCAACAGGACAAACCAACAUGUUGAAGAGGACAGAUUGGAAGGAGCCUGCAUCACAGAUGUCACCAAGGAGCCAUCUCAUCGCAAGCCUUGGUGCUGCCCUAACUCGUGGCUACUUGUCGCGUGUCCUUGUUAUUUAGGCCUCAUUUCCCUACCGUUUCUCCUCCUUACAACUCAGUCCCUUCUGAUCCAGACGCUUCCUCAGAAAAGGAAAAUCCAAGAGUUCCCGAUGUAGCACAGUGGGUUAAGGGUCCAACUGCAGCAGCAUGGGUCACUGCAGAGAUGCGGGUACGAUCCCUGGCCCAUUGCAGUGGGUGAAAGCAUCUGGAUUUGCCGCUGAUGAGGCUCAGAUUCAGUCCCUGGCCCGGGAACUUACAUAUGCCACAAGGAUGGCCAUAAAAUUAAAAAAAGGAAAAUCCAAGUUAAAAAAAGACAUGUGUGGAUCUUCCUUUCUUUCUUAUGUUUUUAUCAAGUGAUUCAUCCUCUCACAAAACCUUUAAAGAUGGGCUUUAAAAAAUGUUGGCUCCUAGAGCUGCCUCAAAAAUUUGACUUUAAGGGGUUUCACCAUGGCUGCUAUGUUAUGAAAGGGCUUCUGACCUCACUACGUGAUGACUGUCACAUCUGCCCAGGGAUGUGAGGACCCCUUGAGGACAACUUCAGAACCUUGGGCCGACAGGUAAAUGCAGGAUGAAUUUCCACAAGCAUUCGGUUUCCUUGGUGAUGGUCCCUCCUUCCAAAGAGAGACUCCCAGGGGCUCAUACUGCGACGUGGCCAGGGUGAACCUGACACAUUUAAAGCCGUGGCAGCUGAAUUAUAAAGAGCAAAUUCAGCCCACAAGAAUGUUCUUUCUCCAGCACAAUAAGCAUGUGAUACAUUUGCUCAGUAUGACAGAUUCUACUUCGGUAGACAGCACCUUCAGAAAACACAUUAAAAUGUCAUUAGAUUUCAACUAAACUUGCUGAUAAUUUGGGAAACUUUCCCGUGCUGUGCUCGGCAGAAACUAGCUCAGGCCAAAUUAUUGUUCAUUUUGUUAAUAUAAGACUUCAGGCCACUCUCCGGACUUGCCACGCUUUCCCCUGCCCGGGAGCCGCUGCCCGUGCUCUUUUUGUCCCCUGGAAUCCCUCUCUCACUCAUUGCCCG
ensembl:lncRNA